rnacentral:rRNA from 1 species
GAUGAACGCUGGCGGUAUGCUUAACACAUGCAACUCGAACGGACUCUUCGGAGUUAGUGGCGGACGGGUGAGUAACGCGUGAGAAUCUGGCUUUGGGUUCGGGACAACCACUGGAAACGGUGGCUAAUACCGGAUGUGCCGAGAGGUAAAAGAGAAAUUGCCUGAAGAUGAGCUCGCGUCUGAUUAGCUAGUUGGUGAGGUAAAGGCUCACCAAGGCAGCGAUCAGUAGCUGGUCUGAGAGGAUGACCAGCCACACUGGGACUGAGACACGGCCCAGACUCCUACGGGAGGCAGCAGUGGGGAAUUUUCCGCAAUGGGCGAAAGCCUGACGGAGCAAUACCGCGUGAGGGAAGAAGGCUCUUGGGUUGUAAACCUCUUUUCUUAGGGAAGAACAAAAUGACGGUACCUAAGGAAUCAGCAUCGGCUAACUCCGUG